rnacentral:tRNA from 1 species
AAAGUGUAGCUUAUAUAAAGCACCUGGCUUACACCCAGAAGAUACCAUGUAAUAAUAGUCACUUUGA